UUUCCGUAGGUGAACCUGCGGAAGGAUCAUUACAAUUUUGGCACACCAAGAUGCCCUCGGGCGUUGCGGUGUUGUCAAUCGAGAUACCAACCCAUGUCUUUUGAGCACCUCACGUUUCCUCGGCAGGCUCGCCUGCCAAUGGGGACCCCCAAUAAACCUUUUUGUAAUCUCAGUAUGAACUUUCUGAACAAACCUAAACGUUAAAACUUUCAACAAUGGAUCUCUUGGCUCUGGCAUCGAUGAAGAACGCAGC
rnacentral:misc_RNA from 1 species